UCUAAGCAUCCGAUAUUUCCCCAGUGAACGUCUCCUGCCUGAUGAAAGGAGGACUCACGUCACUCCGUGAGACAAGCCCCGAUUGACUGCUCUGCUGUGUGAGCCUGAACCAAUUGUGGCCACCUGUCUGUGUCCGUCUUUUGGUGUGCAUCGCCGGGUGGCCUUUGCUGGAGCCUAGGACCCACUAGGAAUAGUGCCAGUGGAAUCUGAGACUAGUACCAGGAGGAGAAGUCAUCUGCUCUUGCUGGGACACAGAAGCACCAUAAAAUUACUGCUCCCCACACAGCAACAGUACGCAGGACCAACAUCCAACAGGUCACCUCCCAGAUGAUCUAUGCAACUCUACCCGCAAGGCUGAAAACACCACCUACCCCUGGUGCCCCCUGCAGGAACAUUCUAUGCAUAUGGGGCCACUGCUUACCUCUGCCUGCCUGAAACCAGAAGAACUCCCUACAAACCCCUCUGAGAGGAAGAAGUGGGAUGCUAACCCCUUGAUCAUUGUCCCUUUCUAGCAGGAAGUAGCUAAGAGCACUUAUCUCACACUAAUCAUACCACAAAUAACCUUUACAAGGUCCAACUGGCACAUAUGGAAGAGAUAGAGGAUUCCUGGUGUGUACACCUGUUCAACUUUACCCAGUCUUUGAUCUUAUUCACUCCCCCAAAGAUCAUUUACUUCCCCCAAUAAAGCUUUUGUAGUCCACUGA